CCUGCGGGGGCUGCAGUGGGGAAUAUUGGACAAUGGGCGAAAGCCUGAUCCAGCCAUGCCGCGUGUGUGAAGAAGGCCUUCGGGUUGUAAAGCACUUUCAGUGGGGAAGAAAGCCUUGGGGCUAAUACCCUCGAGGAAGGACAUCACCCACAGAAGAAGCACCGGCUAACUCCGUGCCAGCAGCCGCGGUAAUACGGAGGGUGCGAGCGUUAAUCGGAAUUACUGGGCGUAAAGCGCGCGUAGGCGGUCUGAUAAGCCGGUUGUGAAAGCCCCGGGCUCAACCUGGGAACGGCAUCCGGAACUGUCAGGCUAGAGUGCAGGAGAGGAAGGUAGAAUUCCCGGUGUAGCGGUGAAAUGCGUAGAGAUCGGGAGGAAUACCAGUGGCGAAGGCGGCCUUCUGGACUGACACUGACGCUGAGGUGCGAAAGCGUGGGUAGCAAACAGGAUUAGAUACCCGUGUAGUC
rnacentral:rRNA from 1 species